rnacentral:rRNA from 1 species
AGCGAACGCUGGCGGCAGGCCUAACACAUGCAAGUCGAACGAACCUUUCGGGGUUAGUGGCGGACGGGUGAGUAACACGUGGGAACGUGCCUUUAGGUUCGGAAUAACUCAGGGAAACUUGUGCUAAUACCGAAUGUGCCCUUCGGGGGAAAGAUUAAUCGCCUUUAGAGCGGCCCGCGUCUGAUUAGCUAGUUGGUUGAGGUAAUGGCUCACCAAGGCGACGAUCAGUAGCUGGUCUGUGAGGAUGAUCAGCCACAUUGGGACUGAGACACGGCCCAAACUCCUACGGGAGGCAGCAGUGGGGAAUCUUGCGCAAUGGGCGAAAGCCUGACGCAGCCAUGCCGCGUGAAUGAUGAAGGUCUUAGGAUUGUAAAAUUCUUUCACCGGGGACGAUAAUGACGGUACCCGGAGAAGAAGCCCCGGCUAACUUCGUG